GUUUAUGUUUCAUGUUUGUAUUCUUAUAAGGCUACACAUCUAUGAAACCUCUCUUGAACACAUCCCCUCUUGCAACAAAAAUAAUUUGCUUUGUUUAUUAAUGCCAUGCUCUGCAAUAUUCCAGCUAUAUGGCGGCGGUCUGUAAAUAAU